rnacentral:rRNA from 1 species
UACGUAGGGUGCGAGCGUUGUCCGGAAUUACUGGGCGUAGAGAGCUCGUAGGCGGUUUGUCGCGUCUGCCGUGAAAGUCCGGGGCUCAACUCCGGAUCUGCGGUGGGUACGGGCAGACUAGAGUGAUGUAGGGGAGACUGGAAUUCCUGGUGUAGCGGUGAAAUGCGCAGAUAUCAGGAGGAACACCGAUGGCGAAGGCAGGUCUCUGGGCAUUAACUGACGCUGAGGAGCGAAAGCAUGGGGAGCGAACAGG